rnacentral:rRNA from 1 species
UAAUACGGAGGGUGCAAGCGUUAUCCGGAUUUACUGGGUUUAAAGGGUGCGUAGGCGGAUUGGAAAGUCAGUGGUGAAAUACUCCGACUUAAUCGGAGAACCGCCAUUGAUACUGUCAAUCUUGAAUGUGGUUGAGGCGGGCGGAAUGUGUCGUGUAGCGGUGAAAUGCUUAGAUAUGACACAGAACACCCAUUGCGAAGGCAGCUCGCUAAGCCACUAUUGACGCUGAGGCACGAAAGCGUGGGUAGCAAACAGGAUUAGAAACCCUGGUAGUCCACGCCCUAAACGAUGAUCACUCGAUCUUAGCGAUAUACUGUUAGGGUCUAAGCAAACGCGUUAAGUGAUCCACCUGGGGAGUACGAUCGCAAGAUUG